rnacentral:sRNA from 1 species
UCAAUUAGUACCAGUACUGUGACUUUA